rnacentral:rRNA from 1 species
GAGGAAUAUUGGUCAAUGGACGAGAGUCUGAACCAGCCAAGUAGCGUGAAGGAUGAAGGUUCUAUGGAUUGUAAACUUCUUUUAUAAGGGAAUAAAACCUCCCACGUGUGGGAGCUUGUAUGUACCUUAUGAAUAAGCAUCGGCUAACUCCGUGCCAGCAGCCGCGGUAAUACGGAGGAUGCGAGCGUUAUCCGGAUUUAUUGGGUUUAAAGGGAGCGCAGACGGGGGAUUAAGUCGUCCAUUGACCAAUAUUCCUC